GGAGACGUGGAAAGCGAAACCGCCGACUGGGAAGGGGGAACUACUGCCCUUGGGCCACCACGGCUUUCUGAGCAUAAUGGGCGUCCUCCAGGGCAGGAUUCCAAAUGCACCGUGGGUCCUGCUUGUUGGACUGGGGCACGUCCAGAGCCAAGAGCGAGGGCUCCAAUUUGGAAUGGAGGAGCGCAUGGAAGGAAGGCUGCCCCGGCCAGCUGGGGUGCCAGCAGGUCUAAGGGACUCUAUGCAGCUGGCUGACAUGUCCCGGAUACCGUGUUCCUGACACCUAAUGGUUUCUUCAUGUGAGGGGGGGGCCAUGGUCAGCAGCAGCUCUGAAGGCACACCCUGUUAACAAGAAUGGGAAGAGACCGUUUAUAUGUGCCAGGCACCAUCCUGGGCACUUCAAAGCCCGCAAGUCAAGAAGAAAGAGAAAAAAACAUUCUCCACUGCAAAUGUAGAGAAUCCACAGACAGAGUCUACAGUGGGCCGAUGUAAGUCAUGUCCCCACCACUAGAGCAAUUGCUGGGUCAAGAACCAGUGGAGCAACCGCCAGAUGUGGACAUCUGACUACACACUGGUUGAAAACAUCAAGUCAGUGUUAACCUUGCUGCACGAAGAUGCUGCAGGCAUGGUCCCCCAGGAAGAGGAGCCUCAUUCUCAUUCCGGCUUCAGAAGGGCACUAAAAGCACGUCAACCGAGUGAGUUUGGUUGCCCUCUUUCUAUGCCUGGACUGCAACUCAAGAAGGUAGAGUGGAGAGGCAAAUAAUAAAUUAAAUAAAAUGAAUGAAUGAAUGAAUGAAUGAAUGAAUGAAUGAAUAAAUAAGGCGUGUUUCUCA